rnacentral:rRNA from 1 species
GGGUUGUGAGGUUAAGCGACUAAGCGUACACGGUGGAUGCCCUGGCAGUCAGAGGCGAUGAAGGGCGUGCUAAUCUGCGAUAAGCGCCGGUAAGGUGAUAUGAACCGUUAUAACCGGCGAUACCCGAAUGGGGAAACCCAGUGUGACUCGUCACACUAUCAUUAACUGAAUCCAUAGGUUAAUGAGGCGAACCGGGGGAACUGAAACAUCUAAGUACCCCGAGGAAAAGAAAUCAACCGAGAUUCCCCCAGUAGCGGCGAGCGAACGGGGAGGAGCCCAGAGCCUGAAUCAGCAUGUGUGUUAGUGGAAGCGUCUGGAAAGGCGCGCGAUACAGGGUGACAGCCCCGUACACAAAAGCGCAUGUGCUGUGAGCUCGAUGAGUAGGGCGGGACACGUGGUAUCCUGUCUGAAUAUGGGGGGACCAUCCUCCAAGGCUAAAUACUCCUGACUGACCGAUAGUGAACCAGUACCGUGAGGGAAAGGCGAAAAGAACCCCGGCGAGGGGAGUGAAAAAGAACCUGAAACCGUGUACGUACAAGCAGUGGGAGCACCUGCUUUGGGGUGGGGUGACUGCGUACCUUUUGUAUAAUGGGUCAGCGACUUAUAUUCUGUAGCAAGGUUAACCGAAUAGGGGAGCCGGAGGGAAACCGAGUCUUAAUUGGGCGUUAAGUUGCAGGGUAUAGACCCGAAACCCGGUGAUCUAGCCAUGGGCAGGUUGAAGGUUGGGUAACACUAACUGGAGGACCGAACCGACUAAUGUUGAAAAAUUAGCGGAUGACCUGUGGCUGGGGGUGAAAGGCCAAUCAAACCGGGAGAUAGCUGGUUCUCCCCGAAAGCUAUUUAGGUAGCGCCUCGUGAAUUCAUCUCCGGGGGUAGAGCACUGUUUCGGCUAGGGGGCCAUCCCGGCUUACCAACCCGAUGCAAACUGCGAAUACCGGAGAAUGUUAUCACGGGAGACACACGGCGGGUGCUAACGUCCGUCGUGAAGAGGGAAACAACCCAGACCGCCAGCUAAGGUCCCAAAGUCAUGGUUAAGUGGGAAACGAUGUGGGAAGGCCCAGACAGCCAGGAUGUUGGCUUAGAAGCAGCCAUCAUUUAAAGAAAGCGUAAUAGCUCACUGGUCGAGUCGGCCUGCGCGGAAGAUGUAACGGGGCUAAACCAUGCACCGAAGCUGCGGCAGCGACACUGUGUGUUGUUGGGUAGGGGAGCGUUCUGUAAGCCUGCGAAGGUGGCCUGUGAGGGUUGCUGGAGGUAUCAGAAGUGCGAAUGCUGACAUAAGUAACGAUAAAGCGGGUGAAAAGCCCGCUCGCCGGAAGACCAAGGGUUCCUGUCCAACGUUAAUCGGGGCAGGGUGAGUCGACCCCUAAGGCGAGGCCGAAAGGCGUAGUCGAUGGGAAACGGGUUAAUAUUCCCGUACUUGGUGUUACUGCGAAGGGGGGACGGAGAAGGCUAUGUUGGCCGGGCGACGGUUGUCCCGGUUUAAGCGUGUAGGUGUGUGUUCCAGGUAAAUCCGGUUCACUUUAACACUGAGGCGUGACGACGAGGCACUACGGUGCUGAAGCAACAAAUGCCCUGCUUCCAGGAAAAGCCUCUAAGCAUCAGGUAACAUCAAAUCGUACCCCAAACCGACACAGGUGGUCAGGUAGAGAAUACCAAGGCGCUUGAGAGAACUCGGGUGAAGGAACUAGGCAAAAUGGUGCCGUAACUUCGGGAGAAGGCACGCUGACACGUAGGUGAAGUGAUUUACUCAUGGAGCUGAAGUCAGUCGAAGAUACCAGCUGGCUGCAACUGUUUAUUAAAAACACAGCACUGUGCAAACACGAAAGUGGACGUAUACGGUGUGACGCCUGCCCGGUGCCGGAAGGUUAAUUGAUGGGGUCAGCGCAAGCGAAGCUCCUGAUCGAAGCCCCGGUAAACGGCGGCCGUAACUAUAACGGUCCUAAGGUAGCGAAAUUCCUUGUCGGGUAAGUUCCGACCUGCACGAAUGGCGUAAUGAUGGCCAGGCUGUCUCCACCCGAGACUCAGUGAAAUUGAACUCGCUGUGAAGAUGCAGUGUACCCGCGGCAAGACGGAAAGACCCCGUGAACCUUUACUAUAGCUUGACACUGAACAUUGAGCCUUGAUGUGUAGGAUAGGUGGGAGGCUUUGAAGUGUGGACGCCAGUCUGCAUGGAGCCGACCUUGAAAUACCACCCUUUAAUGUUUGAUGUUCUAACGUGGACCCGUUACCCGGGUUGCGGACAGUGUCUGGUGGGUAGUUUGACUGGGGCGGUCUCCUCCUAAAGAGUAACGGAGGAGCACGAAGGUUGGCUAAUCCUGGUCGGACAUCAGGAGGUUAGUGCAAUGGCAUAAGCCAGCUUGACUGCGAGCGUGACGGCGCGAGCAGGUGCGAAAGCAGGUCAUAGUGAUCCGGUGGUUCUGAAUGGAAGGGCCAUCGCUCAACGGAUAAAAGGUACUCCGGGGAUAACAGGCUGAUACCGCCCAAGAGUUCAUAUCGACGGCGGUGUUUGGCACCUCGAUGUCGGCUCAUCACAUCCUGGGGCUGAAGUAGGUCCCAAGGGUAUGGCUGUUCGCCAUUUAAAGUGGUACGCGAGCUGGGUUUAGAACGUCGUGAGACAGUUCGGUCCCUAUCUGCCGUGGGCGCUGGAGAACUGAGGGGGGCUGCUCCUAGUACGAGAGGACCGGAGUGGACGCAUCACUGGUGUUCGGGUUGUCAUGCCAAUGGCACUGCCCGGUAGCUAAAUGCGGAAGAGAUAAGUGCUGAAAGCAUCUAAGCACGAAACUUGCCCCGAGAUGAGUUCUCCCUGAGACUUAGAGUCUCCUGAAGGAACGUUGAAGACGACGACGUUGAUAGGCCGGGUGUGUAAGCGCAGCGAUGCGUUGAGCUAACCGGUACUAAUGAACCGUGAGGCUUAACCUUACAACGCCGAAG